GGAGAGGUGGCAGAGUGGUUGAAUGCGGCGCUCUCGAAAAGCGUUGUGGCUGCAAGGUCACCGAGGGUUCGAAUCCCUCCCUCUCCG
rfam:Chloroflexi bacterium RBG_16_63_12 RBG_16_scaffold_18621, whole genome shotgun sequence.